UGUCUAGAGAAAGCACAGAGACGGCGGCAGGGUCAGUCCUGGUCCCCAGCCCCCCAGUGACUUCUGUCUUUGCAGCAGGGACGUGCUGGAGACAGGAGAGCGAGUCAUCGUGACACAUGUCUGCUUCGCCCCACAGUGUGUUAUGGACGCUCCAGAUCCCGGGACCAGAGACCAACAGCAGAGCACUGAGCCAGGAGCCACAGGAUAAGAAAGAUGUCUAAUGCAAGCAGAUGCCUGCCAUCAGAGGGAUUCCCAACUGUUAAGAAGGGUUCCAGUGAGGACCACGUGGUAACGUGUGGACAGCACUCGCACAGUACCUGGCUCAGUGGCUGACUGAUGCCAUCAUUGCUGCUACUGUGGUUACUGGAAGCACCUGAGGACCCACCUUACCUGGAGUGCACCUCCCACAGCUUCUGGUUCAUCCGAUAAUCCCACACGGAGACCAGGCCCUCCUCGCCCCCACUGACAAUCUUCCAGUCGUCCAUCUGGACUGAAGAGACUCCGAGCUGGUGGGCAGAGAUGGACAGGGCGAUCGUGUCAGUGCGGAGGUCGUGGAUCCUCACCCUGCAGGGCCAGAGAUGAGUGCAGAGAUUAGCAUUAGAGCCUGAAAUGACGAAUUCCUCCUCAGCCAUCCUGGUCUGUGUACAGCAACCCUAUGAAAACAGAGUAUGAAACCCCUCAGUUACGAACAUCUAAAUACUGAUACUAAACUUUCACCACCUCCUUAGUGUACUCUCAGAGGAGGCCAAGAGGCACUAGAAAUGAACUAGUUUAGAGCACUCCCCACCAUUCAAAGCACGGAAUAAGGAGGACUCAGAACAGAUACACUGGCUGCCCUGCUGCUCACUUCAGGGGAGACGCCUGCCCUGGGCACAAGCCCAUUGCGAUGGAGGCUGACCUGACUGCCAUGGGGACGUCGGCCUGAGAAGGCUGUCCAGAGGGCGCUGCCAUGUUGUUUAAGGAACAAGAACUCGUUCAUGACGGGGAGGGGCACCCAGAGGCCUUCACAAGUACUGGUCACACUCUGUUUCUUAAGUGGGUGGGUGGGUGGCGGGAAUGCUCAGGUGUUCCGUUCUUUAAAUUGUGCACAGCAUACCUUGUAUACACUCCCAUGUGGAUGUUUUGUUUCAAAUAAAACAGGGUUUUAGAAAUCUAUAGUCUUAUGACACGGGGGUGAGUGAGGUCCACGGCUUCUUCCCUGCUGGCGGCGAGGCUGACUGAGAGCUCCCUUAGUAUAGCAGGCCAAUCAACACCCCCCCCACCCCGCCUCCCCUCUUCCCAGGGAGGGGUCUGUGACCAGAGAGAUGCCGAGCGAGCAGGAAACACACAGAAGACAAAGAGCUCCAGAGCUCCCGCAGUCAGCAUUUGCAGACACUAAUCUUUAGGCAUUUGUGGGUUCGAGAAGGGAGAAAAGGUAAAGUUGCCGUGAAAGGAACUCUGCCUGGAGGCUACAGCUGCACUGCUUACUAAUGAGAACUUGAAAAGGAAAGGGGAGGGGGGGGAAUUUUUAGCUUGAGUACUUUUCAGUGCGUAUUUGGUUAAUAAGGGUCUAUUUUGCUCUAGUGAUUUUCAUAAAGAGCUCCUCUGUUGAAUAUUUAUACUCCAUAAUUUACAGUUUGGCUGUUAAGGAGACAAAGGCAAACACAAAUUUGGUCCAGAAGUUCAAAGUUUGCCAUCUGUUUUCCUAUUGUAUUUAGAUACCGGCAUGGAUGGCUCCAAACAAAAUACACAAAUACACCAAAAGAUACAGCAUUAGUGUAUCUUAUCACUAAGGAAAACAAAAAUGGGCCAAAAAACAGACUCGAACUUCUCCCCACAGGGAAAAAGGAGAAGCACUUAGAAGACAUCUCCUCAAGAAGGCACUGCUCUGGUUUCUGGCUGACAGAAAGAGAUAGCACGCAGCGCGGGGUGCGAAGUCCACGCGAACUCUUCGAGUUCACAUCAUGAAAUGCAUCUCUGCUUCACACACCUGACGGCGCGGCCCCAGCGUGCACAGCAGCGUUCCCUGGCAGAGCCCAUACCCUCAGCGCUCAAAUCAAAUUCCUGACGUGGGGAAACAGGUAGCACAGCAAAUGGGCACAAACAUGCCAAGACAACUGAUUCCAGGGACAAAAAGAAGCCAAUGGUAGACACUGCGAAUCCCUAUCCAGCGUGUGUUUCAUCAACUUUGCCCGUUGAAAAGAAAAAAAUAAUUGGUCUGAAAGCUGUAAUUGUAUUAUGUUUAAUAUUCAUGGUUGGGUUUGGAGGGCUGUUCCAACACUCCCUCUCUCCAGCCCCUCUCUAAUGAAAAUCACACCAUAGGAGUCAGCUCAAGCCCGCCAAUUAAAACAAAAGACACCGGAACCUUCCAAAGACUCCAACAGAGGAGCAUCCAUCAGAUGGGCAGGAAAACGUGCUGGAACUGAGAGGGAGGCACGCGCUGGCUGGUCCUGUGCUGAGAGCUUUGAAUAACUUAUUACAACACUUGCAGAUGGAGCAAAUGUAACAUUUACGGCCCACUCACUCUCCCUAACGGGCAGCAGCAGCACCAGAAGCCACCACAACUCUGCAUUUGUCAAGGCGAGAAGCUCCGACACUCUCUAAUUAGGGGUCACAACUCAGAGCUUGCUUCCCAUUGGUUUGGAUAAAAUAGUCCCAUAAAAUAAUAAGGCAAACUGUAUUUGAUGGCAAAGAUGAAGCCUGUUCAGGCUCUGGCUCAGCAGUUUCAUUAAGAAGGACCUGACCUUCAGCUAUAUUUCUAUCCAGAAAAUAAAGGGAACAAGCAAGACGGCAUUAAAACAGUCUCUCUUUUUUUAAAUGACCAAAUUAAUCAAGAAAACUCUUUUUUUUUUAAGAAAUCAAUAACAUGAUUGUUUUGUCUCAUCGAACCUAUAUUAAAGAGGAUUUUUAAAAACAACGUUAUAUGCCCAAAUUAGUAGCUAUAACAUAUAUACAGCACCAAUGAUGGCCUUUGGUGAACGAUUCAUUUUUAAUAGCAACUAGAAAGACAUGUAUUUUCAGGUAGAACUGCCCAGUUUAAUCCAAGUAGGCUAUGGUUAGAGCUCUAUGUAUUGUAAAGCUGUAUCUCUGAAGUUUAGAGUUCUUUGUUUAUUGCCCAUAAAGAGUAAUAAGCCCCUUGGACUGAUCACUCGACCUUUCUGGACCUGUUUCCUUAGCUGGGCCAGCUAUUAGAUGGUCUUAAAGAGCUCUGCUAGACCGAAAAUUCUGCAACCCUUACAAGCCAGCCCAUACCACCACCAGUGGACAAAAAUGAUGUAUGGAAACAGAAACAUUCAGCUUACUUUAAUAAAUCCUUUUAAAUUUCAAUCAGAUGAGUGUACCUAGAAUAAGCUCUCUAUUUUAUGGUCAACUGAUUUUCAACAGUGGUGCCAAGACAACUCAAUGGGGAAAAAAUAGUCUUUUCAACAGAUGAUGCUAGGACAAUGGAUAUCUACAUGUAAAAAAGAAUGAGGUUGGACUCCCACCUCACACCAUAUACAAAAAUUAACUCCAAAUGCAUCAUAGACCUCAGUGUAGGAGCCAAAAUCGUAAAAAUUCUUUUAAGUAAACAUAGGAGUAAAUCUUUGUGACUCUGGCCUAGGAAAUGGCUUCUUCAAUAUGAUAUGAUAUUGCUAUAUGAUACCAAUAGCACAAAUGACAAAGAAAAACUGGAUAAAUGGAAUUUCAUCAAAAUUUAAAACUUCUGUGCUUCAAAGGACAUUAUCAAGUGUGAAAAGACAACCCAUAGAAUGGGGAGAAAUAUUUACAAGUCAUAUCUCAUAAGAGGUUGGUAUCCAGACUAUACAAAGAACUCUUGCAACUCAAUAAAUAAAAAGACAACCUAAUUAAAAAAUGGGCCAAGGAUUUGAAUAGAUAUUUAUCCAAAGAGGCCAAAAAGCACAUGAAAGGAUGUUCAACAACAUCAUACCUUUAGGACAGCUAUAAUCAGAGACCAUAGCAAGUACUGGUAAGGAUGUGGAGAAACUGGAACCCCCAUACACUGCUGGUGGGAAUUGUAAGAUGGUACAGUCACUUUGGAAAAGAGUCUAGCAGUUCCUCAAACAGUUAAACAUAGGGUUAUAUAAGCCAGCAAUGCCACUCCUAGGUAUAUAUCCAAGAGAACUGAAAAUAUAUGUCUACACAAAACUCUGUAGUUGAAUGGUAACAGCAGCAUUAUUCAUAAUAACCAAAAAAUGGAAACAACCCAAAUGUUAACUGAUGAAUGAAUAAGUAAAUGUGGUAUACCCAUACAAUGGAAUAUUACUUGGCCAUAAAAAGGAAUUAAGUGGUGAUUCAAGCUACAACACAGGUUUAUCUUGGAAGCAUUAUGCUAAGUGGAAGAAGCCAGUCACAAAAAGUCACACGUUCUAUGAUUCCAUUUAUAUGAAGUAUCUAAAACAGACCCGUAGAGGCAGGAAGUGAUUAGUGGUUGCCUAGAGCUAGAGAAGUUGGGGGGACAUGGAGAGUGACUGCUAAUGGGCACAAGGUUUCUAUUUGGGGUGAUGAAAAUGUUCUAAACCUGACUUGGUGAUGACUGCACAACCUUGUGAACUUUACACUGGAUUGUAUAAUUUAAAUUAGUGAAUUGUAGGUAUGUGAAUUCUAUCUCAAUAAAGCUAAAAAUUUUUUAAAUCAAUUUAAGAUUACAGGAGGAAAAGCAGUGGGAUUUGUUGGCUCAGUGCAUGUUGCUUUGGCAGCCCACUAACAACCUGGUGUACGCCCUUACCACCAACUCUUCUUUUUGGCCCCGCCGUGCCGCCUGCGGGAUCUUAGUUCCCUGACCAGGGAUUGAACCUGGGCCAUGGCAGUGAAAGCGCAGAGUCCUAACCACUGGACCGCCAGGGAAGUCCCACCCUUAUCACCAACUCUUAUUUUGAUUCUCCCCAGCAGAGCAUUCUCUGGUCUAGAUCCCUGAUUUCAUUCGUUAGAAAUGAGCAGAUCCCAGAUGAGAAGACUGAGAGCAACAGAAUGGGAAGGGACCCCCUUUAAUACAGCCCUCUACUGCCAACUAAACAGUUUAUUUAAAUUAUUUAAAGAGAGUAGGAGUUCUGCAUCUGACCUAAAGUAAGCCCACUACUGCCUCUGUCUUCUGCUGCUACAACCCAAACCUCUGGACAAAACACAAAAAGCAAACACCUGAGGACCCUGGGGAGUUGACUCACUACAGUGGAUUGUGGGGGAAGUGGCCACGGAGGAAGGGGCCGUGGGGAAAGGAGUUUCUCUCUCACAGCCUCACCCCGAGUGUGAGCUCCUGUAGCACAGCUGUGUGGUAGCUAAAACGCUAACAGAAACACCCUCUUUCUGAAGAACCAAGGAGAGAAACCCCUAAGUCCAAAGAAUGUGGGUGUGGCAUUUUUGGGGAUUCCCCCAUCUCUUUUCUGUCUGGUUUUGCCCCAAGACAGUCCCUAUUCACAGAGCUGCAUGGUGGUAGGGAUGCCAGCAGGUGAAACCCUGAGAGAAACCCCAUCUUCUCGUCAGAGGCCCAGGGGACAAGGGCCCUGAAAGCUAGGAAUCACAGGGAUGAAGAGAGGGAGGAACUGGAGACGGGGAGCCCGUGAUACCGCGUGCGACCCCGCGCGUGGCCCAGGCGCAGACCCAAAGCAGUACAGCAAAGGCUCAGGUAAGAUUUCAACCACUGCCAGCUCAGACUAACCUCUGGGUGGCACGUGUGCAGGGCAGUCAGAGAAGCACAGCAAAGGUUUUGGAAAUUGAACUGACACUGGAAUCACCACCCACAGAAGGGAAGACACAACUUGCAGUCUGAACCUAACCAGGGGGACUGCCUGUUUAAAACAAAAACAAAACUCAACAUCCUCCAGAGGAUUAUGUAACAGGAUCGAAAGUGGACACAAAAUGUCCAGGAUACAUCCAAAAUUACUUGACAUACCCCCACCCCAAAAGCCCCAGGAAAAUGUGACCCAUUCUCAAGGGAAAAUGUCAACCCUAAAAUAACCCAGACUUUUGGAAUCAUCAGUGACUUUAAAGCAGCUAUUGUAACUAUAUUCCAUGAGGUUAAGGUACAAUGAUAAGAAUGAAUGAAAUUCUGAGCAGAGAAACAGAAACAAUGGAAAUUUUGAACCAAAAAAGUAUAAAAUCUGAAAUAAAAAAUUCACUAGAUGGGUUCAACAGCAGAAUGGAGGUGACAGAGGAAACAGUUCAUGAACCCAAAGUUAAAUCAGUAGAUAUGUGCAACUUGAAGAAUGUAAGGCUUAGGAAAGAAAAUGAAUAGAGCUUCAGUGACCUGUGGGAUAAUAUCAAAAAGUCUGUUCUUCACAUCACUGAAGUCCCAGAGGAGAGGGGAAAGGGAUCAGUGUGGAAAAAAAUAUCUGAAGAAAUAAUGGCCAAAAACAUCCCAAAUUUGGUGGAAGACAUAAAUUUACAGAUUCUAAAUGUUCAGUGAACCCCAAAGGUUAAACUAAAGAAACAAAACAACAAAACUCACAGUGGUCUAUUUCCGGCAGACUUUAUCUUGGUAACCCACUCAAGUUUCUCAUAACUGUUCUAAUUCCUAAGAUUUAUUUUUGCCUUCAUUGAACAAAUACAGACUUUUAUUUAAUUGAAAACACCAUCCAAUUCAAGAAGCACCAUUACUUUAUGUAAUAUUUUAACAUGCUGCCAUUUGUAAGAUGUUAUUAUAAAAGACACAUCUUGAUUUUCAUAGAUGUGAAAAUGUAAAGAAAAAAAAAGUGCAUCUCAGAAUAAAUGCAAAACAUACACAGUUAAGCCCUCUCUGAGCACUAGACAGACACUGUGGUAAGACACAAGCGUCCUGUCCUAACACCGGAUGCACACCGCUCCCUCCUCUAAUGUUACUUACCACUCUUUCUUCUUGGCUUAGCAGGAAAGGACAAAAUACGCAUUAAAAAAACCUCAUUGAUCUGUAGUGUUAAAACUCUUGUGCAGAGCCCCACCUAUAUAACCCCACUUUAUAACCCUUCCCUCCCAGCGAGGGAAAAGUACAAUCCAACCAUAACUCAGUUCCCACCCUGAUCAUUCUCUUAAUCUUUAUCAGACUCUACUUAACCUCUAGUGACAAGCUAGGUGAGCUAUUUGUUUCAUUUUUAAUUUCAGCUUAUACCCACCCCCCCAAAAAAAACCAACUCCUUAGAAAAUUCCACCCAUGUUAUUAGCAAAGUUACUCAAGCUGAUUUCCUUAAAGAAACAUUAUUUUUGUUUUAACCUUGGACAGUUUUAUGUACCUUUCGAGUCCAUUUCAUUCUCAAGUUAUUUAUAAAGUACUAAGAGAAUGCAAUAGAAGUUCAGUUUUUUAAAUAAAAAUGGAGGUUCCAAGGUUUUUAAACUGCAUCUGUCAUGAAGUGAUAGCCACCUAGCUCUCUUCAUAGUAUUUGCCCCCUCCGUCCCACUUCUGAAAUAAAACAUAAGCUGUACAAGCCUGGGUGUGCAUCUCUGAUGAGUUCCUACUCAUAGCUAUUAAGUCUCUGGGAAAAACCCCACAAGACAUACCUCUAUCACUUAAAAGUCUAGAGUCCUUAUUCCUUCCUUUUUCCAGAUGUAUAGUGCUUUUAAGCCCCAUGUUUGAAAUUCAUAUUGCUAACACUGUUAAUGUGAUUCAUAAAGAACAAUCUUAUAUAUGAUGGCAAGCCUCUGCGGUACCAGUAGUGGUCAAAUAGCCGGCACACAGAUCUACAAGUGGCCCUGAUUAAAUGCCAUUUUGGAUAGCCCCCUCCCCAACUCCAAGUCCCAAGUCUAUUCUUUUCAUCCAAAAAGACAAAGGGUGUAAAAAAACCCCACAAAAAACGUAACUUUGGUUUACUAAUAAAAUGGAUUUUAACAUGGUCAGAUUUGGCCUUCAAAAUGACCAGAGAGCCCUUUUACACUGCGCAUUUGGCUUCUCCUCUGGCAACGGGGAGCAUGGUCAGGCAGCCCUGCUCCAGAGGAAAACGUCAGCUUUACCGAGUAUGUACAGGCCUCCUCACUGACAGCAGGACGUGCAGCUGACAAUGGUCAUGACAAUCUGGCUGUAACUGUGCUUCUGGAGCUAAUGAGGUUACGUUAUAUAGAAAGCAGAGGUCUCUUCUCUGGAACACCAUUUUGGUUUCCUGGGAGCCUAGCUGUGGUUGAACACCUAAAUGGUCAUGCUGUCAACAAACUCUGAAGCAUAACCUACAAUCCCAAACCCUUCCAUCUGGAUGCCCCACAGAGCCCUCUGCAUUUGCUCUCCUGGAAGGCGAAGAGCUGUUAGGUCCCUGUGGGUAGAUCCUAUCAGAUAAGCUUGAAGCCUUUGUACAGCUCAGUCAGAACUGAAAAUGGGAGAGUAAAACUAUAAACUGAUGUGUUUCAUUUGCUGUGCCACAAGUGGGGCCACUUAUCAAGCCUAGUUUGUUUUCUUUUUUUUUUAAAGAGAAAAACUGCCUGGACAUACACUGAGGAGUUCAAUUCUCAAGCAUGAGAAGUAUCAGCUGUUUUAGGCGGGCUCGAGGAAAAUAAGAUCAGCUGCUGCACUGGUACGACAGAGGUCUGGGAUUUGGCACAAAGGAGGACCCGCCUCACGAUCUGAUACCCCACCAAGUGGCCCGCCACCUGCAGCCCGGGGCUGGCCAGGGGAGGGGGCGCCAGCUGAACCUGGCCUCCAGCCAUGCUACCUCUCUUCAGGGCACUGGAUCAGACAUGACAGAUAACCAGUCAAAAAAAGAAGAAAAAAAAAAAAAAGGAAGAAGAAGAAAGAAAAGGAAAAGACAAGGGGGAGAGGGAAGAGAAAGGAAAAAAGCCUAAAAUUUGGACUCAGACAGUCUUUUCAAACACUUUAAUCCUUCCAUGCUGAUGGGUCCUGGAGCGGCCGGAGCUGGCACUGGACCCUGUACCGGGAAAAUCCAACUCCCUAAGCCAAUACGUUAAAGGGAAGACUGCUAAUCAGCUAAAUAGAAACUGGAAUCUGUUCACAUGAAGUCUCUUUUUUUCCCCCAUCACCGGAGGGACACCAUAGUGGUCUGAAACACACUCUUGACAUCAUUUGGCAGGCAAACCUAUUUUGCUGAACAUGAUUCAUCCCUUAGGUUGUUGUUUUUAAUAUUAGAAAGUGAGCUUUUAAAUGCCAAACAAAUUUUACAGCAGGGGGACAAAAGAUAUUCCAAGUGGUCUCACUGGACCUUCCACCAACUGCGUCCACCAAAUGGCCUAAAAGACAACCUUCCCAUGGUGUUUCAGAAAUGAGGCAGAGACGCAACUCCAUCCAACUAUUACCUAAUACAAGACUUUGUUCUCCAAGUUCACAGGGAUGGUAUUUAUGGGAUCAGGGCUGAACUCAGGUGGGCAGAGAUGUGAGUGAGAAGUGAGGAGGGUGAGCCGGGGAGGAAAUCAGUGAGCUCAGUGGAGGCCGAGCGGCCAGGCCUCAAGAGAAGCUGCCUGUGGCUCUAAGAUGCGACUCUACUGACACCUACCUCCUGUCCAUGUUGCCACUGACCAUGAGAUUGGGAGGGCUGUCCCGGAGGUUGACGCAGGUGAAGUCGCCAAGCGCGUUGCCCAGCUUCGAGAGGCAGCGUUCUGCUUCCAGGCUAUACACCAGGAUCUGGGGAGGAGGAAAAACACGUGGGUGUGCGUUAGGGGCAGCAGGCCUGCACAAACAAUUUCCACCCAGCGUCGCCCCGGGGCACGGUCACAGCACCAGCUCCCAUUAGAGAAGAGGCUCUAAUACUCCAUUUCCUGACCCCUUCCAGGUAAUGACAGUAUAAGGAUGGCUCUUAGAACAACAAAAGGAAACACAAGAGAAAAGAAAAUCCAAAGAAUUCCAGGCCAAGGUGCAAACAAACUCAUAGGACACAAAAAAAUGCCAAAUGGGGAAAUUCGGUAUCCCAAUUUCUUAACACAGAAAAAGAAGCAUGGAAACUAAGGGUCACUGACUGCUUCUGAUUAAUGGGGGAGGCUAACAAGAAGUCUGUGUACAGGGUUCUCUCUCUUUUCCCCCUCUGUAUUUAUACCACAGAAGGUAAAAAGAACAAACAGUAUAAGCAUCCAGGAUGAUGAAGCUUGUACAGUUAACCACUAGAUGAUUCCUUUAGAUUAAACUACAAACCAAAACAUAGUCUUAUUCCCAAACGUUAAAAAAAAUUUUUUUUAAUUGAGGUAUAACUGAUAUUCCCCAACAGCUCUCUCUUCAGUCACUCUCCACUAGCUAAUUAUAGUAAGCUCUGUUCCAUAAGGUAUGGAGGCAAGUAAGAGAGUAUCCUUGAUCUCCAGACAAUGUAUUCAUUACAUUUGAACACUGCCUUUUCUCCAGCAAAUGGGGAAACAAGGAUGAUUCAUAAGGAAUCUUUCUGAAGAUUAUUUAAGUCUUUUACUAAAAAGAUCUUAGUAAUUCAAUUAACAUUAAGUGCUUGCCAUGGGUCAGUAAUUGUUGUAAGUACUGAAGACAUAGUUAGUCCUUGCACCCAAAUUCACUGUUCAAAAUCCUCCUCAUUUAAACACACACACACAUGUGAGCAUACAUUAUAUUCUGUUGAUCAUGUGGUUAAAAUUAAUCACUGAACUCAAAAGUUUUAAUGUUAAUAUUUUGUAGAGUCUCCUCUCUUAGCCCACACAUGAAAAUGAUGUGCUAUUUUUUCUUAUUAACCUAUACAUUUAUCAAUUAUCAGUGUACAGAUUCCUAUUUUAGUACUGAGAGGUUAAUAAAUUGACUCCACCUUGAAAACCAUUGAUGUCAUUGUUGACACAUAUUUCUAACAAUUGAAUCUUUGGAAAUUCCUAAUAGUCAAAACAACACUAUAAUAUUAAGUAAAACUGCUCACGGUAUCUGAAAGGAAAGAGAGCAAUUUCAAAAUGUAAAAUGCCUUCUUUUUUUUUU